CUAUGUCAUUUGUGUCCCAUAACUGAGGCCUUUUCUAACCAUCUCCCAGAAGUGUAAUUUCAAAACUGUCAAAUUAUCACAUUAUAAUUUGGUAAAACUUCAGAAAAAUGUGUUCCAUUAUUAUAAUUUAGUUGUUGUAUUUUACCCUCUUUUUCUCCCAAUUUCAGUCUUGUCUCAUUGCUGCAACUCCCCAACGGGAUCGGGAGAGGCGAAGGUCGAGUCAUGCAUCCUCUGAAGCAUGACCAGGCAAACCUCACUCCUUAAGCGUGCAAAAUAAAAAAACACAAAGCAACAAUCGCCACUACAUUAUUAUAACCUCAUAACCUGUCACAGUGGAGAACAGUUUAAUAAAGAUCUACACAGCAUUAGUUUGACCUCCUCCCCUGUUCUACUCAAACCUCCUGGAGAUUCAGUGAAACUAUCUUGCCAAGUCUCUGGCUAUGCCCUGACAGACUAAGGUACAGGUUGGAUACGACAGCAGCCAGGGAAAACAUUGGAGUGGAUUGGGAUAAUCUGAGGUGGUGGAUCCAUCAACUCUGGAGCCUCUUUUAAGAGCAGAUUCACCAUCUCCAG
rnacentral:lncRNA from 1 species